GUAAUUAUAGUUUAACCAAAACAUUAGAUUGUGGUUCUAAAAACAAAAGUUAAAAUCUUUUUAAUUACC
rnacentral:tRNA from 3 species